rnacentral:lncRNA from 1 species
GAGGGCUGUUUUCCUAGGCGAUUCCGGUAAAGCUUCAACGACAGGGACCGGCGUUUUCUUGCCGAGGGUGGCCGGGAACAGUACUACUACCACCACUGCAGCUUCCGCUGAAUCACGGAAGAAACCAGGUAAUUGAAUUGAGGCGAAGUAGACUAAGUCACGGUGGUCGUUGGAAUCUGGUGGCAGUUGCUUUUUUUCUUUGGUUGCUUCCCAUAGAUUCCUUACCUGCUCAACCACUAAACCGGUUGAGUGACCAAUUAAUUAAAUUACAUGGGUCCUACUAAUCUCAAUGACUUUGAAAACACAGGAUAUUCCACCGUUUUGAUUCCGGCGAGAGUGGUCCAGGCUUUGAAACUCCACUUCGACAAAAUCAGCAAUCCCGCCACCGCCGCUGCCGUCACCGUGCCUCUUCAACACGGUAUUAUUACUCUCUUCCAACUUCGUUUUCCACGUCAUCAAAGUUGAUUUAAUUAGCGUCUUAAUAUAAUUAAUUAAACGCCGUGUAGAUGCAGUGACGGGCGAUGUGAAGUACGCAUUCCAAUUACAAGGGCAGAAAGGUGAAUCCCCGUCGAAGCCGGCAGUGAAUCAACGUCAUUUGAAUCUCCGCCAUCAUAAUCAUCAAUAUCAAGACAUGGGUCUGCCGCAGGAGUGGACUUAUUAAAAUUUCUGGUCGACAAUUACAGAAGAAGGAAAUAAUCAAAUAAAGAACAGAAGAACGAACGGGUGUAUGAUUCAUCAGGUUAGCUAGGUGGUGUUAUUGGUUUGGCUUUGAUUCUGUGAAGAAAGUCAGUUAAUGUAAUAAAUGAUCGGCAGCCGUCAGUUUGUGUAUAAGUAUGAGCUGCUAAUUAAUCAUGUCUUUUGUUUUUCAAGUUUUGUUUACUGUGUGAUUGUGAUCUCCUUCUGGUUCCGAUAAAUCUCCGGAAUAAUAAAGACACAGCACAGCUUCAUUGUUUAUGUUGCUUGGUCAGGGUCUGCCUGACUUCUCCAAGUUCCAAAGUAUCAGGUGAGAUACCGACCGGCUCUA